AUUGAACGCUGGCGGCAUGCCUUACACAUGCAAGUCGAACGGCAGCACGGGAGCAAUCCUGGUGGCGAGUGGCGAACGGGUGAGUAAUAUAUCGGAACGUGCCCAGUCGUGGGGGAUAACGCAGCGAAAGCUGUGCUAAUACCGCAUACGAUCUCUGGAUGAAAGCGGGGGACCGUAAGGCCUCGCGCGAUUGGAGCGGCCGAUACCAGAUUAGCUAGUUGGUGGGGUAAAGGCCCACCAAGGCGACGAUCUGUAGCUGGUCUGAGAGGACGACCAGCCACACUGGGACUGGGACACGGUCCAGACUGCUACGGGAGGCAGCAGUGGGGAAUUUUGGACAAUGGGCGCAAGCCUGAUCCAGCAAUGCCGCGUGCAGGAUGAAGGCCUUCGGGUUGUAAACUGCUUUUGUACGGAACGAAACGGCGAGCUCUAAUGAAGUUUGCUAAUGACGGUACCGUAAGAAUAAGCACCGGCUAACUACGUGCCAGCCGCCGCAGUAA
rnacentral:rRNA from 1 species